UACGUAGGGUGCAAGCGUUGUCCGGAAUUAUUGGGCGUAAAGAGCUCGUAGGCGGUUUGUCGCGUCGGGAGUGAAAACCUUGGGCUUAACUCAGGGCUUGCUUUCGAUACGGGCAGACUAGAGGUAGGUAGGGGAGAAUGGAAUUCCUGGUGUAGCGGUGGAAUGCGCAGAUAUCAGGAGGAACACCGGUGGCGAAGGCGGAUCUCUGGGCCAUAACUGACGCUGAGAGACGAAAGCUAGGGAGCAAAUGGG
rnacentral:rRNA from 1 species